GACGAACGCUGGCGGCGUGCCUAAUACAUGCAAGUAGAACGCUGAAGAGAGGAGCUUACUCUUCUUGGAUGAGUUGCGAACGGGUGAGUAACGCGUAGGUAACCUGCCUUGUAGCGGGGGAUAACUAUUGGAAACGAUUGCUAAUACCGCAUAACAAUGGAUGACACAUGUCAUUUAUUUGAAAGGGGCAAUUGCUCCACUACAAGAUGGACCUGCGUUGUAUUAGCUAGUAGGUGAGGUAAUGGCUCACCUAGGCGACGAUACAUAGCCGACCUGAGAGGGUGAUCGGCCACACUGGGACUGAGACACGGCCCAGACUCCUACGGGAGGCAGCAGUAGGGAAUCUUCGGCAAUGGGGGCAACCCUGACCGAGCAACGCCGCGUGAGUGAAGAAGGUUUUCGGAUCGUAAAGCUCUGUUGUAAGUCAAGAACGGGUGUGAGAGUGGAAAGUUCACACUGUGACGGUAGCUUACCAGAAAGGGACGGCUAACUACGUG
rnacentral:rRNA from 1 species